rnacentral:rRNA from 1 species
UACGUAGGGUGCAAGCGUUGUCCGGAAUUAUUGGGCGUAAAGAGCUCGUAGGCGGUCUGUCGCGUCGGCUGUGAAAACCCGAGGCUCAACCUCGGGCCUGCAGUCGAUACGGGCAAACUAGAGUACUGCAGGGGAGACUGGAAUUCCUGGUGUAGCGGUGAAAUGCGCAGAUAUCAGGAGGAACACCGGUGGCGAAGGCGGGUCUCUGGGCCGUAACUGACGCU